rnacentral:rRNA from 1 species
UACAGAGGGGGCAAGCGUUAUUCGGAACUAUUGGGCGUAAAGGGCGCGUAGGCGGCCUGGCAAGUGGAUGGUGAAAUCCCUCGGCUUAACCGAGGAACUGCCAUCCAGACUGCUUGGCUUGAGACCGGGAGAGGUGAGUGGAAUUCCCAGUGUAGCGGUGAAAUGCGUAGAUAUUGGGAGGAACACCAGUGGCGAAGGCGGCUCACUGGACCGGUACUGACGCUGAUGCGCGAAAGCGUGGGGAGCAAACGGG